AGUGAACGCUGGCGGUAGGCCUAACACAUGCAAGUCGAACGGCAGCACAGUACGAGCUUGUUCUUUCGGCGGCGGAGUGGCGGACGGUGGAGGAAAACAUGGGAGGUAGUGUGUUAGUACGGGCGGACACGGGGGAAAUUACGGCAUACCUCCUUACGGCCUACGGGGGAAAGCAGGGGAUCUUCCGCCAUUGGGUGAUCCGAUGUCGGAUUAGCUAGUUGGUGGGGUAAAGGCCCACCAAGGCGACGAUCCGUAACUGGUCUGAGAGGAUGAUCAGUCACACUGGAACUGAGACACGGUCCAGACUCCUACGGGAGGCAGCAGUGGGGAAUAUUGGACAAUGGGCGCAAGCCUGAUCCAGCCAUACCGCGUGUGUGAAGAAGGCCUUCGGGUUGUAAAGCCCUUUUGUUGGGAAGGAAAAGCAGCAAGUUAAUACCCCGCUGUUCUGACGUUACCCAAAGAAUAAGCACCGGCUAACUUCGUG
rnacentral:rRNA from 1 species